GACGAACGCUGGCGGCGUUCUUAACACAUGCAAGUCGAGCGGAAAGGCCCUUCGGGGUACUCGAGCGGCGAACGGGUGAGUAACACGUGAGUAAUCUGCCCUUCACUCUGGGAUAGCCACCGGAAACGGUGAUUAAUACCGGAUACGACCAAUCCCUGCAUGGGGUGUUGGUGGAAACUUUUUUGGGUGGGGGAUGUGCUCGCGGCCUAUCAGCUUGUUGGUGGGGUAAUGGCCUACCAAGGCCUCGACGGGUAGCGGGCCUGAGAGGGUGACCGGCCACACUGGGACUGAGACACGGCCCAGACUCCUACGGGAGGCAGCAGUGGGGAAUAUUGGACAAUGGGCGGAAGCCUGAUCCAGCAACGCCGCGUGAGGGAUGACGGCCUUCGGGUUGUAAACCUCUUUCAGCACCGACGAAGCGCAAGUGACGGUAGGUGCAGAAGAAGAACCGGCCAACUACGUGCCAGCCGCCGCCGUAAAAC
rnacentral:rRNA from 1 species